CCAAUGCAUUGCUCAGUACGGCGAGUGAGCGGCAAAAGCUCAAAUUUUAAAGCUGGCACCUUCGGUGUCCGCGUUGUAAUUUUGUGAGGCAUCUCCGGGUAGGGCGCCGGCCUAAGUUCCUUGGAACAGGACGUCAUAGAGGGUGAGAAUCCCGUGCUUGGCUGGCUGUCCCCGUCCAUGUGAGGUGUCUUCGACGAGUCGAGUUGUUUGGGAAUGCAGCUCAAAAUGGGUGGUAAAUUUCAUCUAAAGCUAAAUAUUGGUGGGAGACCGAUAGCGCACAAGUAGAGUGAUCGAAAGAUGAAAAGCACUUUGAAAAUAGAGUUAAAAAGUACGUGAAAUUGUUGAAAGGGAAGCGCUUGAGACCAGACUUCGGUGGGGAGUGAUCAGCUGUCCUUCUGGGCGGUGCACUUGCUCCCCUCCGGGCCAGCAUCGGUUGGGACGGCGGGAUAAAGGUCCCGGGAAUGUGGCUCCUCUCGGGGAGUGUUAUAGCCCGGGUGAAUGCCGCCAGCCCCGACCGAGGACCGCGCCUUCGGGCUAGGAUGCUUGGCAUAAUGGUCUUCAGCGACCCGUCUUGAACCCCGGACCA
rnacentral:rRNA from 1 species